CCUACGGGGCGCAGCAGUGGGGAAUAUUGGACAAUGGGGGGAACCCUGAUCCAGCGACGCCGCGUGAGUGAAGAAGUAUUUCGGUAUGUAAAGCUCUAUCUGCAGGGAAGCAAAUGACGGUACCUGACUCAUAAGCCCCGGCUAACUACGUGCCAGCAGCCGCGGUAAUGCGGAGGGGGCACGCGUUAUCCGGAGUUUCUGGGGGUAAAGGGAGCGUAGUGGGUGCAACAAGGUUGAUGUGAAAGGUAGGGGCCAAACCCCGGGAAUGCAGUGGAAACUGGUGAUCUAGAGUGCGGGAGAGGUAAGCGGAAUUCCUGGUGUAGCGGUGAAAUGCGUAGAUAUUAGGAGGAACACCGGUGGCGAAGGCGGCUUACUGGACUGUAACUGACGCUGAGGCACGAAAGCGUGGGUAGCAAACAGGAUUAGAUACCCGAGUAGUC
rnacentral:rRNA from 1 species